rnacentral:rRNA from 1 species
AUGAAAAAGUUUAUCAAGGACAAAGUGCAGUCCUGUCUAGUUUGUCAACAAGCUAAACCUGAGAGAGUAAAGUAUCCAGGGAUGUUAUCUCCCUUGCCGGUUCCAAACAAAGCAUGGGAGACUGUCACUAUGGAUUUCAUUACUGGGCUGCCGCAUUCACAUCAGUUUGAUUGCAUUUUGGUGGUCAUAGAUAAGUUUACCAAAUAUGGUCAUUUCAUGCCUCUAAAACAUCCUUUCUCUGCACAGAAAGUGGCUGAAAUAUUCCUUGACAAUGUUUAUAAACUGCAUGGAAUGCCAGAGUACAUUGUCUCAGACAGAGAUCCUGUUUUUACAGGUAAUUUUUGGCAAACCCUGACUCACAGGACUGACACACAACUGAAUAUGAGUUCUGCCUACCAUCCUGCUACUGAUGGGCAAACGGAGCGAGUCAACCAACAAGUGAAAUGCUACCUGAGAAGUUUCAUGAGUUCUCAUCCAUCCAAGUGGAGCAAAUGGUUAUCGAUGUGUGAAUUCUGGUAUAACACUAAUUGGCAUUCUGCUGUGGGCAAAACACCUUUUGAAGUGUUGUAUGGCCAUUCUCCAAGGUACUUUGGCAUCUCUGUUAGUGAUACAGUAGCUCCAAUGGACAUACAACAGUGGUUGUAG